rnacentral:rRNA from 1 species
GAUGAACGCUGGCGGCGUGCCUAAUACAUGCAAGUCGAGCGAACUGAUUAGAAGCUUGCUUCUAUGACGUUAGCGGCGGACGGGUGAGUAACACGUGGGCAACCUGCCUGUAAGACUGGGAUAACUUCGGGAAACCGAAGCUAAUACCGGAUAGGAUCUUCUCCUUCAUGGGAGAUGAUUGAAAGAUGGUUUAGGCUAACACUUACCGAUGGGCCCGCGGUGCACUAGCUAGUUGGUGAGGUAACGGCUCACCAGGGCAACGAUGCAUAGCAGACCUGAGAGGGUGAUCGGCCACACUGGGACUGAGACACGGCCCAGACUCCUACGGGAGGCAGCAGUAGGGAAUCUUCCGCAAUGGACGAAAGUCUGACGGAGCAACGCCGCGUGAGUGAUGAAGGCUUUCGGGUCGUAAAACUCUGUUGUUAGGGAAGAACAAGUACGAGAGUAACUGCUCGUACCUUGACGGUACCUAACCAGAAAGCCACGGCUAACUACGUGCCAGCCGCCGCCGUAAUAC